rnacentral:rRNA from 1 species
ACUGCUAUCGGAUUGAUACUAAGCCAUGUGAGUCAUUGUAGCAAUACAAGGCAGACGGCUCAGUAACACGUAGCCAACCUACCCUAUGGACGGGGAUAACCUCGGGAAACUGAGGAUAAACCCCGAUAGAUCAUUAUGCCUGGAACGGUUUAUGGUCCAAACGAUUCGUCGCCGUAGGAUGGGACUGCGGCCUAUCAGCUUGUUGGUGAGGUGAUGGCCCACCAGGGCUAUUACAGGUACGGGCUCUGAGAGGAGAAGCCCGGAGAUGGGUACUGAGACACGGACCCAGGCCCUAUGGGGCGCAGCAGGCGAGAAACCUUUGCAAUGUGCGCAAGCACGACAAGGUUAAUCCGAGUGUUUCCUGCUAAAGGAAUCUUUUGUUAGUCCUAAAAAACACUAGUGAUAGGGGGUGGGCAAGUUUCUGGGUGUCAGCCCGCCGCGGUAAAACCAGCACCUCAAGUGGUCAGGAGGAUUAUUGGGCCUAAAGCAUCCGUAGCUGCUCUAUAAGUUUCCGGUUAAAUCCAUUUGCUUAACAAAUGGGCUGCCGGAAAAACUGUAAAGCUAGGGAGUGGGAGAGGUAGACGGUACUCGGUAGGAGGGGGGUAAAAUCCUUUGAUCUAUUGAUGACCACCUGUGGCGAAGGCGGUCUACCAGAACACGUUCGACGGUGAGGGAUGAAAGCUGGGGGAGCAAACCGGAUUAGAUACCCGGGUAGUCCCAGCUGUAAACGAUGCAGACUCGGUGAUGCCCUGGCUUGUGGCCAGUGCAGUGCCGCAGGGAAGCCGUUAAGUUUGCCACCUGGGAAGUACGUACGCAAGUAUGAAACUUAAAGGAAUUGGCGGGGGAGCACCACAAGGGGUGAAG